rnacentral:tRNA from 1 species
AUCCAUGUGGCGCAAUGGAUAGCGCGUUGGAUUUCUAAUUCAAAUGUCGUGGUUUCGAAUUCCACCUGGGAUG